GUUUGUUAGAGUAAAUGCUGUAGUGAUGAAGAUCACUUACUGGAAAUCGGAAAAUAUCAAAUCAGCUAUAUAUACAGUGUGGGCCAUGAACCAUGAUUAUACAAUAUUCCUCAGCCCUGUGGGUGUGUGAUUCAACAUCCGCCCAACAUCUGCUUAAAAGCUGCCUGACUGUCACAAGGAUUUCCCCUACCUGAGAUCCAACUGAGUUUUGUACAGGCUCACAGCACUUAGUGGAAGCAAAGUUAGGUGACCUUGGUUUUGGGGGUCUGGAUGUGCUGGAUGCGCCCUCAGCCCAACUCUGG